rnacentral:rRNA from 1 species
UGAGGAAUAUUGGGCAAUGGGCGAAAGCCUGACCCAGCCACGCCGCGUGUGUGAUGAAGGCCUUCGGGUUGUAAACUGCUUUUGCGUGGGACGAUAACGACGGAACCACGCGAAUCAGCCCCGGCUAACUCUGUGCCAGCAGCCGCGGUAAUACAGAGGGGGCAAGCGUUGUCCGGACUUACUGGGCGUAAAGCGCACGCAGGUGGUAACGCAAGUGGGGUGUGAAAGCCGCCAGCUCAACUGGCGGAGGCCAUCCCAAACUGCGUCACUUGAGGCCUGUAGAGGUAUGUGGAAUUGCCGGUGUAGUGGUGAAAUGCGUAGAGAUCGGCAGGAACACCCAGGGGGAAACCAGCAUACUGGACAGGUCCGGACACUCAGGUGCGACAGCGUGGGGAGCGAACCGG